rnacentral:lncRNA from 1 species
CGCACAUCUACAUGCCCGGCUGCAGUGACCCACCUCCUGCAGUCACGCCUGCCCACAGUCUCCACCCAGUCAGUCCAUUCAAACUAGGAUGGACUGACUAGGUCACAGCUCUCACAACCCAAGGAUUUCAGCUCCAAACAGCCCUGAUUAACCGGGAGCUUUUGGAAGACACCUCUUAUCCAAACUCUGUCACCGUUUCUAGGUCCCUGACUGCCUUUCCAUUUCAAAAAUCGAGUGGAGUUGGCCUCUGGAGAGACCUCUGCGACUGAGGGAGUCCUGAGGAAGGCGUGGAAUGGUUCACACUCGGUUUCCAGGACAGCAGCUCCAGUACCCAACAGAGAGCCAAAGCUGCCGGGCACCCGCUGUCUUCUCCACGGCCUCGGAAUUAGGACGGGGGGAGGUGGUCCCCUUGGGCUUUGUUAUCGUUAAUGUUUACUUUCUGGAGAAGACAGGUUGCCUUGCUAUUAGGUCAACAUUCUCUGGACCAAGGAUUUCCUAUUGCAGGGAGCUCAGGGUUCAUUCAGCAGAGAAGGUCAUGUCGUCCCUUCUAGGUGGUCUGGAUUCCCCUGGAGAUGCCACCUCUGCACAGGACAGAGUCCUUCCUGUCAAGAUCCGUCACAUCAGACUCCACUUGCAACUGGACUUACAGAUUCCCUUGGACUUCAAUCCUGUCCUUCCUGUGACCCAGGGGAGUCACAAGGACAGCUUUUCUGUGAACAGCCCGGCAGAGGCCUGCCCCUCCGUCACAGCCAGGAGCCAGAGUGCAGGACGCAGAGUUUCCAGACUGACAGCGCACAUCUAGCUUGUGUUCCUGAGGACAAAGGAAAACAAAAGCUCUCAUUUUUCCUUUAAAAAGAGCAUAAUUUUCUAUCUUUCUCACUAGCACUCAUGCUUGCUGGGAUGGAAAAUCUGGAAAAGCUGCAAAAUUGUGUUAUUCUGCAGCCCACGUGCCAGGAAAAUCCUCAGGGAAGCAGUGAGGGGGUGUCAGGGGGCGUCGUUUACUCCGCAGGAGCUGGUUGUAGCACAUGAAAUUUGUCACUCCGUGCUCUUUGGCUAAAGGUUUUGGACACGGAUAUAUACCAAGAAGAGUCCUGUUGGAGGGUUGUCUCUGGAACAAUAGGGAAAUCCCUCCUCCCCUUGUCCUGCUCAGUCACUGAUUGAGCACAGCCUCGGAGCCAUGUGCCGCAUGCCCAUUGGCGAGACUUCUCAGUGCACCCUUGAUGUGCCAGCAAAGCUAGUUAAGAAAUAUAGCCCGUGACCCCACAAGUGGCAUUUCCAUUGGGACGGAAUGUGCAAUACAUCCUUAUAAAGUCACUAAACCCUGGGUGGACGAGACUCUCCUUGUAUUCGCAACUUUACUC